rnacentral:misc_RNA from 1 species
AAAAAAAAAAAAAAAAAGAAGAAUUUGUACAGCAAAAAUGUAAAAAGGCUCAUCAUUUAAAUCAGGUCUGUUGACAAGGGAAUGAUGCAAUUUCGAACAGUCCAACAGGAUACUUGUUAUGAGUAGUGCAGGGCAGCAGGAGGGUGUCGGAACUAAUGGGCCUGGGAAGCUUAAAGCAUAUACUAGAAGGAGAUUCAAGGAAGUUGUAUCAGAUGGGCUAGUAGAGAAUUAGGGGAAUAUUGCUGAGCUGGAUAACAGAAUGGGUGCUGUCACACGUGCUGGAGAAUCUAUGAAUAACUGACCUAGAAGAGCUAGGAAGGCAUGCUUGAGUAUUCUGUUACGUUCAGCUUUUGCUGGGACAGAAGGAUUUUGAGUGUAUUCCUUGGCUAUUUUACUGGUUAUUGUAAUAGGAUUGUGCUGUAUUCCUAUUCCAUUAAUGAAAUUUGCCUUCCUCUCUUAAUUUUUUUUAAUUCUUUCAUUUAAGCUCUUUCCUCUAUCAAAUUGGUUCGACCUGCUGGAUCAAAAUCUUGUUGUUCAUGCCCACUACCAGGAUGGAAUCUCGUACUGACACCAUAGAGAAGAGCUUGACUGCUCUGGAGGAAGGUUUACAAAAGGUUCACCAUGAUAAGGAACAGCAGGACAGAAUGUUUAGCGGAGUUUUGGAGAAGAUGAUUCAAACAGAGAAACAUUUGGACAAACUCGACACACAUGAGAGCAUGGUAGCUUUGUUGAUGAAAGGGAAAUUGAAAGAUGGGGAGAGUGAUGGGAUUACUCUUACACCAGUCAGUCAACCCAGUCAUAGCGAGACCUCAACUCCUCGUAUCUUAUCGCUGCAAGUAAUUACAGAGGUGUCCCAGCUUGGUAUUAAAAAAAUAGAGUUGCCCAACUUUGAUGGAAAUGAUCCCAUCAACUGGUUGGCGCGUGCUGACCAAUAUUUUUUAGCUCACCAAACAACAGCUAAUCUAAAAGUGCAGCUAACAAUGAUUUGCAUGGAAGGACCAGCAUUGCACUGGUUCCGGAGGCUGACACACAGAAACCCAAACAUGAAUUGGUAACAACUGUCACUAGAAAUGUUGAAGAGAUAUGGAGGGGAUUCUCUAGCUAGUCCUUUUGAACGCUUAGCAGCAGCAAAGCAAGAGGCAGUGUGGAUGAGUUUAUUGAUGAAUUCAUAGCUAGAGCUGCUUAGGUACCCAGAAUUACAGAUCAACAUUACCUCAGGCAUUUCCUCAAUGGUUUAAAAUCAAAGAUAAGGCUGCGAAUUCACUCUCAAGAUAUGGUGGAUUUGUUUAAAACCAUGACUCUAGCUAAAGAAAUAGAGAGAGAGCCGUUGCAUGCACCACUGGUGAAGGAGAUGAAGGGCACUAUCAAUGGGGGAGGAAAAGGGUAGCAAGGUCAUGGGUUGGGCUCUACUUUGGGGUCCUAUAACAGUAGCAAGAAUGGUGGGCUACAAUCCAAAACUAAUGUUCCCAUUCAAGGAGUCCAAAACAAAACAAAAGGCACAAGGGGAGAGAAAGCUAGUCUGGCCCUAUCUCCAAUGCCUACAUUGCCAGAUCCAAAUCAGAAUAAGGGCGCAGGGGCAAACAAAAAUGGGGCGACGAGGAACUAGGCACUACACAAAACAAGAAUUUCUCCAUCUCAAAGGCUAAGAGGUUAUGCUAUCGUUGCAAAUAACCCUAUCAUCCAUUGCAUGAAUGCCCAAGUAAGACCCUGAGAGCUAUUAUUAUCAAUGAAAGGGAAGAAGCAUCGGAUGAUGAGGAACCAGAAACAGGGCAAGCUAUUGCCAUUAAUGAAAGCCACUUCAAACAACUUGAGCUACCCCUUUAUUCGGUGGGCGGCAUCUCUGGUCCCCGUACUAUGAAAUUCCAUGGGUAGCUUCAAGGACAAAUGAUGACUAUUAUGGUCAAUAGCGGGCGAGUCACAAUUUUGUGGCACAAGAGUUGGUUUCGAGAUUGAAUUUACCAGCAGAAUCAACACCAACAUUUGGAGUGAGGUUAGGGGAUGGGCACAGGAAAGAAUCUUCAGGGCUGU